UACGAGGGGAGCAAGCGUUGUUCGGAUUUACUGGGCGUAAAGGGCGCGUAGGCGGUCGUGACAAGUCACUUGUGAAAUCUCCGGGCUUAACUCGGAACGGUCAAGUGAUACUGUCGGACUAGAGUACAGAAGGGGCAACUGGAAUUCUCGGUGUAGCGGUGAAAUGCGUAGAUAUCGGGAGGAACACCAGUGGCGAAGGCGACUACCUGGCCUGUUCUUGACGCUGAGGCGCGAAAGCUAGGGGAGCAAACGGG
rnacentral:rRNA from 1 species